rnacentral:rRNA from 1 species
CUAAGAAUAUUCCGCAAUGGACGGAAGUCUGACGGAGCGACGCCGCGUGGAUGACGAAGGCCGAAAGGUUGUAAAGUUCUUUUGCUGGGGAAGAAUAACCGCAGGAGGGAAUGCCUGUGGGAUGACAAGAACCGGCGAAUAAGCCCGGCCAACUACGUGCCAGCAGCCGCGGUAACACGUAGGGGGCGAGCGUUGUUCGGAAUUACUGGGCGUAAAGGGCAUGUAGGCGGCUUGGAAAGCCUGGGCGUGAAAGUCUGCAGCUUAACUGCAGGGGUGCGCUGGGAACUGCUGAGCUUGAGUGACGGAGAGGGAGCUGGAAUUCCUGGUGUAGGGGUGAAAUCUGUAGAUAUCAGGAAGAACACCGAUGGCGAAGGCAAGCUCCUGGCCGAUGACUGACGCUGAGGUGCGAAAGUGUGGGGAUCAAACAGGAUUAGAUACCCUGGUAGUCCACACAGUCAACGAUGUGCACUAGGUGCUGGGGCGGUAGCUUCGGUGCCGGAGCGAACGUGGUAAGUGCACCGCCUGGGGAGUAUGCUCGCAAGGGUGAAACUUAAAGGAAUUGACGGGGUCAUAGCUGUUUCCU